rnacentral:misc_RNA from 1 species
GAAAUUGAAGAAGAAAGCUGCAGCAUCUGGACCUUCGGUUGAACCUGAGGAUCCAGCUGAAGAAGUUGCUGAGGCAGCAGACACUGAGAAGGUGGAAGUGCAUGAUGAGCCUCCUGCUUCAGUGAAGGGAAAAGUUAAGAAGGAGAACAGCGUCAGGCACAGGACUCGGCCAAGGGGCCCAGAUUCAUUUUCAAAAGCUAUCCUGAGGAGGAAAAAGUCGACCAACUAUUGGAUGUGGGCUGCUGCUGCUGCUGC